rnacentral:ncRNA from 1 species
GCUCCCGUGCAAAUGCCCUUAAUGUCCCGCCCGGAACCAAGGAGCAGGUAUCAGGCACGUGUAGACAGCCCAUAACGCCUUGUUCAGCCACACCCCUACGGGUAGUCAGCAGUGAUAAAAUUUAAGCCAUAAGUGAAAACUUGACUUAGUAACGGUUAAGAGGGCCGGUAAAUCUCGUGCCAGCCACCGCGGUUAUACGAGAGGUCCGAGUUGAUAAAAAACGGCGUAAAGAGUGGUUAAGAAAAUAAAAGAAAUAGGGCCGAAGAGUUUCAUUGCAGUUAUAAGCUUUACGAAAUCAUUAAGUACAUUUACGAAAGUAGCCCUAACAAUACUCUGACUCCACGAGAGCCAUAAGACAAACUGGGAUUAGAUACCCCACUAUGUAUGGUUGUAAAAUUUGAUGGCUUGAUACUCAAACCAUUCGCCAGAGAAUUACGAGCACGAGCUUAAAACUCAAAGGACUUGGCGGUGCUUUAGAUCCCCCUAGAGGAGCCUGUUCUGUAACUGAUAAUCCUCGUUAAACCUCACCACCUCUAGUUCUCAUAACCGUCUAUAUACCGCCGUCGCAAGCUUACCCUGUGAAGGUUAAAUAGUAAGCGAAAUUGGUAAUACCAAAAACGUCAGGUCGAGGUGUAGCGAAUGGGGUGGGAAGAAAUGGGCUACAUUCUCUAUAGGAGAGAAUACGAAUGGUGGUUUGAAAUAGGCCGCACGGAAGGUGGAUUUAGUAGUAAGUAGGGAGCAGAGUGCCUUGCUGAAAAUGGCUCUAAAGCGCGUACACACCGCCCGUCACUCUCUCCUAAUGUGAUUUAAAAGUUUACUUAAAUUGAUUUAUACAAGAUAAGGGGAGACAAGUCGUAACAUGGUAAGCGUACCGGAAGGUGCGCUUGGAUCAAU